UACGGAGGGUGCGAGCGUUAAUCGGAAUUACUGGGCGUAAAGCGCACGCAGGCGGUUUGUUAAGCUAGAUGUGAAAGCCCCGGGCUCAACCUGGGAUGGUCAUUUAGAACUGGCAGACUAGAGUCUUGGAGAGGGGGGUGGAAUUCCAGGUGUAGCGGUGAAAUGCGUAGAUAUCUGGAGGAACAUCAGUGGCGAAGGCGACUCCCUGGCCAAAGACUGACGCUCAUGUGCGAAAGUGUGGGUAGCGAACAGG
rnacentral:rRNA from 1 species